rnacentral:tRNA from 1 species
GUUAAUGUAGCAAAACUUGGCCAUGCAAAAGACCUAAACCCUUUUAAUGGGGUUCAAAUCCCCCCACUAACU